CAAGAGCGUAUGUAAAAGUUGUUGCAGUUAAAAAGCUCGUAGUUGAACCUUGGGUUUGGUUGGCCGGUCCGCUUUUUUGCGAGUACUGGAUUCAACCGAGCCUUUCCUUCUGGCUAACCAGUCGUUUCGGCGGCUGGCGAACCAGGAUUCUUACUUUGAGAAAAUUAGAGUGUUCAAAGCAGGCAUUAGCUUGAAUAUAUUAGCAUGGAAUAAUAGAAUAGGACGUUAUGGUUCUAUUUUGUUGGUUUCUAGGACCAUCGUAAUGAUUAAUAGGGACGGUCGGGGGCAUCAGUAUUCAGUUGUCAGAGGUGAAAUUCUUGGAUUUACUGAAGACUAACUACUGCGAAAGCAUUUGCCAAGGACGUUUUCAUUAA
rnacentral:rRNA from 1 species